CCUACGGGGGGCUGCAGUGGGGAAUAUUGGACAAUGGGGGGAACCCUGAUCCAGCCAUGCUGCGUGUGUGAAGAAGGCCCUCGGGUUGUAAAGCACUUUCAGUGAGGAAGAACGCCUGGUGGUUAAUACCCAUCAGGAAAGACAUCACUCACAGAAGAAGCACCGGCUAACUCCGUGCCAGCAGCCGCGGUAAUACGGAGGGUGCGAGCGUUAAUCGGAAUUACUGGGCGUAAAGCGCGCGUAGGUGGCUUGAUAAGCCGGUUGUGAAAGCCCCGGGCUCAACCUGGGAACGGCAUCCGGAACUGUCAAGCUAGAGUGCAGGAGAGGAAGGUAGAAUUCCCGGUGUAGCGGUGAAAUGCGUAGAGAUCGGGAGGAAUACCAGUGGCGAAGGCGGCCUUCUGGACUGACACUGACACUGAGGUGCGAAAGCGUGGGUAGCAAACAGGAUUAGAUACCCCUGUAGUC
rnacentral:rRNA from 1 species